rnacentral:tRNA from 1 species
UAAAAAGAAUUCUAUUUUGAAGUUUAAUUUCGACUUAAAUAAUAGUAAUUUUAUUAUUUUACCUUUUUUU